UACAGAGGGUGCAAGCGUUGUUCGGAAUUAUUGGGCGUAAAGCGCGUGUAGGCGGCUUUGCAAGUCGGGUGUGAAAGCCCUCAGCUCAACCGAGGAAGUGCGCCCGAAACUGCAGAGCUUGAGUGCCGGAGAGGGUGGCGGAAUUCCCCAAGUAGAGGUGAAAUUCGUAGAUAUGGGGAGGAACACCGGUGGCGAAGGCGGCCACCUGGACGGUCACUGACGCUGAGACGCGAAAGCGUGGGUAGCAAACAGG
rnacentral:rRNA from 1 species